GAAAUUGGUUUCUUAAAAUGUGUGUCACCUUACUUCACUGUUCAUUCAAUAUGGCAACUCAACCAGGGAAGAUCGACCUGUACAAAUAUUAUAUACAUUUUGGGUUAAAAUUAUAAUAAAAACAAGUUUGAAACUCUAACCAUGGAGGAGUUUGAAUUUUGAACUUCCCAAAUUCAUAUAUAAAACGAGAUUAAACUGGACAGGAAUGUCAGUGCAAAAUAUAUAACCAUUUAAGAGUACAUAUCAACUGAACAAAAUCCAAUUCCUCCUUUUUCAUGUAUACAGUUUGUAGAAGAUCUUCGUCUGGUUAGUCAAAGCUAAGUACGCAGCUUAGAUUUGGACUAAACACCCCCAGACAAACACUAUCUAAAACAAAACCCAUCAGGACUACCACCGGCAGUGGUCAUUCAUGUCCUAAACAAGUCACUCCCAAACACACAUAAUUAUCGACUUAUAGCUCCCAGACCGAAACAGAACAUCUGCAUAUAGAUCAUGAUUAAUUUACAUAUUCAACCCAGUCGACUAGAGAUUUCAUAUAAUGGAGGAGUGCUCGCAUGCAUCAUGUUUAAUUAUCAACAUGUAGCUCUCAGACACAAACAUAACACUCACAGACACCCACAAGUCAAGCCAGGUUUAUAUUUUGAACCCAGUUCAUUUAAGCUUUCAUAUAACGGAACCGAUACAACGACGAACCGCAAGUAAAUGAUUGUAUCCAACGUGUUGAGAAGUGUGAACAAAAUGGCAUCAAAUCCUCAAGUAAUCCUUUAAAAGGAGAAUGACUAGAAUGAUUCAAGUCCUACUGGGGUUUCAGUUGAGAAAGACGGUUGGUUCUGGUGACAAUUGUGAAUGUAACAUGAAAAAUCACAAUUCGUCCACUCAGCACUGGUUGUCAGUACAGUAGGCUAGAAGAUAAGAGCUAAUUGAAUUUUGUGUACCUUCACCGAAGAAGGGAACAAUUUUGAAACUCGUUCAAAAACUUCAUAUUUCGAUACCAGAGUAUUACAGACACGACAUGUAACAACAUAAAAAUUCAGAAAAUAAAUUUGAGCUAUUGGCCUCAGAAUUGCAGAAUGACAACAAAGCUUCAAACAAGCUAUUCAGUCCCAAAAGAUUGUAAUACAGGAGGCUAGAAGAUAAGAGCUAUUUGAUAAACUUAUAUAUUUAUAUGCAUACAAGACCAUCACAGACUAUGAAUUUUGAGUACCUUCACCGAAGAAGGGAAUAAUUUUGAAACUUGUUCAAAAACUUCAUAUUUCGAACCGAGAGUAUUACAGACACGACACGUAACAAUAUAAAAAUUCAGAAAGUAAAAUCGAGCUUUUGGCCUGAGAAUUGCAGAAUGACAGCAAGGCUUCAAACAAGCCAUUCAGUCCCAAAAGAUUGUAAUACAGGAAGGCUAGAAGAUAAGAUCUAUUUGAUAAACUUAUAUAUUUAUAUGCAUACAAGAACAUCAAAGACUAUGAUGUUCGAACCCAGAGUAUUACAGACACUUGACAUAUAACAACAUAAAAAUUCAGAAAGUAAAUUUGAGAUUUUGGCCUCAGUAUUGCAGAAUGACAGCAAGGCUUGAACAAGCCAUUCAGUCCCAAAAGAUUGUAAUACAGGAGAUAAGAGCUAUUUGAUAAACUUAAAAUGAGUACCUUCACUGAAGAAGGGAAUAAUUUUGAAACUUGUUCAAAAACUUCAUAUUUCGAACCCAGAGUAUUACAGAUAUGACAUAUAACAACAUAAAAAUUCAGAAAGUAAAUUUGAGAUUUUGGCCUCAGAAUUGCAAAAUGACAACAAAGCUUCAAACAAGCUAUUCAGUCCCAAAAGAUAGUUAAUACAGGAGGCUAGAAGAUAAGAGCUAUUUGAUAAACUUAUAUAUUUAUAUGCAUACGAGAACAUCACAGACUAUGAAUUUUUGUGUACCUUCACUGAAGAAGGGAAUAAGUUUGAAACUUGUUCAAGAACUUUAUAUUUCGAUCCCAAAGUAUUACAGACACUGACAUAUAACAAUAUAAAAAUUCAGAAAGUAAAUUUGAGAUUUUGGCCUCAGAAUUGCAGAAUGACAGCAAGGCUUCAAACAAGCCAUUCAGUCCCGAAAGAUGGUAUUCUUGAGAUUGAUUUCAUCACAAGCCACAAACAAGCUUACCACAAAUUCAAAAACCCAGAAACCGAAAUGGAGAUUAAAAACUUUUUGGAAUGUAAAUGAAUCAAAUGUGUGUCUCAUGGCCAGUCCCAAGAGGUAAAAGCAGCAUCCUGCUCCACAAGGCGAUGGAAUAUGAGACCACCCAUUAAUGGAGGAGCUCCCGGAAGAGGGAGGACCGUCAACAUCAACAGGCUUCCGUCUGUGACGUUUCCCUUUGGGCUUUACAAACAUUUAAAUGGUUUGCCCCAUUGAAAGGAAAGGAUCUCUAUGAGAUCCCCGUCAAUAUUACUUUCUGAAAAAAUCAAUCUAAAAAAAAAAAAAAGAACUCUGCAACCAUAGUAAAAAUGUGCUUUGGAUUUUUUUCGAAGGCCUCAGAGAUCUUGGUGGUUAAGAAAUCAUCAAAUGGAGUUGUCUCCAUCAAGAGUAGCAAAUAUUUUUCUCACAUCAUCGGCUCCAAUAACAUUUAAAUAAAAUUAGAAACAUCAAACUCUUCUUCAAAGAUUGAUUUUCAAAACUGUUUUUUUUAUUUAAAAAAAAAAGAAAAGAAAGAGAGAAAGCAUGACCAGUCAGAAGUAGCUAGUUGUGAUCUCAUCUUCUUCUUAAAGAAUAAUCAAUGGGAAUCCGUCUGAUUCUUAUCAUCACACUGCAUCAUGCCUCCUUUUAAAUCAAAUUUAGCAAUCUUCAAUAAAAAACAAAGAGAUAAAACAGAAUUUGAAAUGUGUCUACCUUGUCACCGAAAAUUCCUAUAGAGGAAUAUCAGAGCUGAAGGUAGAGUAUACAUACAGAGGUGAGUAUGCAUACAGGAAAACCCGUUCCUAUUGCCUAACGAUAGAUUCCUUCAUCUACUGUAACAACAGAUCAAAGAAUUGCAAUUUUAGGCGUAAAUAUACAGACCCAAAUUAUGAACAACGAAACCAGAAACCAUUUAAUCAAGAGAGAAAACAGAUCACCGUAGCGCCGGUUUCUUCAUCUUCGAUUAGAAACCCUAGAACAACACCAUUACAUUUGCACGCGGCUGGUUGAGCACCCUGCACCCUACCUAACGCACCGCCUCCUAUGUAUAUAUAUAGAGAAAAGAGCGCAGAGGCACUAAAAAAAAAACCCUAGUUCUUAAACCUUCGCUUGCAGCGGGGGUGGAAUCUUUAAGAGCUUCCGUCCUUGUAGGAAAAUCUUCGUCGGCCCAUUAACCUUCGGCCCAUUGUUGGCUUAAUUAUAAAAUGAUCAAAUUUCGGGAUCUUCAACCGAAAACAAAGAGACAAAACAGAAUUUGAAAUGCGUCUGCCUUGCCACCAAAAAUUCCUGUAGAGGAAUAUCAGAGCUGAAGGUAGAGUAUGCAUACAGAGGUGAGUGUGGAUACAGAAAAACCCCUUUUGCCUAACGAUAGAUUCCUCCACCUACUGUAACAACAGAUCAAAGAAUUGCAAUUUUAGGCGUAAAUAAUAUACAGACACAAAAUAUAACUUCAUUUAAAUAUGAUUUUUGUUUUUGUUUACGUGAAUUUAUGAGUUUUUCAGAAAUUAUUUUUUAGAUUUUAUUUGUAAUUUAAAAUUGUAUUCUUAAUAUAAAAUAAUUCAGAAUAAGAAAAAGACAUUUAAUCAUAAUUUCUUAUUGAACUUUUUGAAAGGAUUCUUACAAAAACUUUAUCAUAAAAUGAUAAAUUCCUUAUAAGAGUCUUUAUAUGCAAUUAAAAUUAGAAGAUUGCAUAAUAACAUAUAUUGUGAAAAUAUGACUUGAAUAGAUCAACAAGAUAAAGAAACAAGGUAAUUUAGUUGAUGUGAGCAUGAAUCAUCUUGGGCCACAUGGAAGAGACGUCAUCACUUCUUUCUUUCUUUCGUUCUUUCUCGCUCUCUUGGCCCCUCCGAAAACACUCUCUUCUUUCUUUCUUUCUUUCUUUCUUUCUCGCUCUCUUGGCCCCUCUGAAAACCCUCUCUCUCUUCUUUUUUUCAUCCUUGCUCAUACGGGGAUAUCGUCUGACCGGUUUCCAGUAGCAAGCGCUAUCCUUGUCAGCCACGACAACAUCCCUCAUUUCCCUCUCCGGCAACACUCCCCUUAAUUUUUUGUUCUUUUAGCGAGAAAAAAUAAAGAAGAGAGAAUGAGAAAAAAGAGAAAAAUAAACUGAAGGGACAGUCCAGAAAAACACCAAGUACUGAAAAGAUUGAAAGAAAGAUCUUCUUUCCAACGGACACUCUCCUUUUUCUCUAAAGAUCUUCUUUCUAACGAACACUCUCCUUUUUCUCUCUCGGCCUCUCGCUCCUUUCUUUCUUUCUUUCUUUCUCGCUCUCUCGGCCCCUCCGAAAACCCUCUCUUCUUUCUUUCUUUCUUUCUCGUUCUCUUGGCCCCUCUGAAAACCCUCACUUCUUUCUUUCUUUCUUUCUUUCUCGCUCUCUUGGCCCCUCAGAAAACCCUCUCUUCUUUCUUUCUUUCUUUCUUUCUUUCGUUCUUUCUCGCUCUCUUGGCCCCUCCGAAAACCCUCUCUUCUUUCUUUCUUUCUUUCUUUCUUUCUUUAUUUCUUUCUUUCUCGCUCUCUUGGCCCCUCUGAAAACCCUCUCUUCUUUCUUUCUUUCUUUCUUUCUUUCUCGCUCUCUUGGCCCCUCCGAAAACCCUCUCUUCUUUCUUUCUUUCUUUCUUUCUCGCUCUCUUGGCCCCUCUGAAAAGCCUCUCUUCUUCCUCUAACCGCCUUUAUUCGUAGCCUCUUUAACUCUUUCCAAUCGCCUCCAUCUUUUCCCCUUUCCCAAAACUAAAGCCUCUUGUACAGCCAUGCCUUCGUGCCUCUAUUUGUCGCACGUCGCUUGCUUCUUUGUCGUCUUCGCGAGCCCCCUUCACGCAUGCUCGACUUCACUCUCUCUCUCUCUCUCUCUCUCUCUCUCUCUGUGACGUUCUGCUUUUCUGAACCCAAACCCGUCACUCUGUCUCCUAUUUGAUGAAGAAAGAGAUCGAAAAUUGGUUUUUUGACCGUUGCGCAAAGAAUAAAUAGGGAAGGGGGAGCGUGGGCCCGCCGCCGCUUCCCUCUUUGUCGUCUAGCAUCAGAAUAAGAAAAAGGGAAUGCUCGCUCCCCUCUUUCUCGUCUAGCAUCAGAAUAAGAAGAAAAUUGAAGCUUCAAACGGUGGCGUUUCGGUUGAGGGAAUGGGUCAAUGUGCUGAACUUUUUAUUUGGAUUUUAGUUUUGAAGUAAAAUGGGUUUUUGGGUUUAAUUUUUGAAAUUUAUUGGAUUAAAUGGAAAUUAGCUUUAAAGCAUUGAAUCUUGGGAAUUGGUGAUAGUGAAAAAAAU
rnacentral:lncRNA from 1 species